rnacentral:pre_miRNA from 1 species
AGUGGGAUAGCUGGAUCACAUGGUGGUUUAAUUCCAAGUUUUCUGAGGACUCUCCAUACUGCUUUCCAUAAUGGUUGCACCAAUUUGCAUUCCACCAGCAAU